AGGACGAACGCUGGCGGCGUGCUUAACACAUGCAAGUCGAGCGGAAAGGCCCUUCGGGGUACUCGAGCGGCGAACGGGUGAGUAACACGUGAGUAAUCUGCCCCUAGCUCUGGGAUAGCUCCGGGAAACCGGGAUUAAUACCGGAUACGACCACCUUAGACAUCUUUUGUGGUGGAAAGAAUUUCGGCUAGGGAUGAGCUCGCGGCCUAUCAGCUUGUUGGUGGGGUAAUGGCCUACCAAGGCGACGACGGGUAGCCGGCCUGAGAGGGCGACCGGCCACACUGGGACUGAGACACGGCCCAGACUCCUACGGGAGGCAGCAGUGGGAAUAUUGCGCAAUGGGCGAAAGCCUGACGCAGCGACGCCGCGUGGGGAUGAAGGCCUUCGGGUUGUAAACCCCUUUCAGCAGGGACGAAGCGAAAGUGACGGUACCUGCAGAAGAAGCGCCGGCUAACUACGCGCCAGCAGCCGC
rnacentral:rRNA from 1 species